GCAAGACCCUGUCUUAAAAAAAAAAAAAAAGUUGUCUUUAUUGAUCUAAGACCUAUAAUUUCAAGACAUAUGCUUAUUAUGAAAAUGCAGCUUCAAGACAAGACUUAAUCUCUUCUGCCCAUCAUAUUUUAAAGCUGCCACAAAAGAAGUUUAUGGUCUGUUGGAGUAAGAGACUGACGUGUGCACAAAUAAUUUACAAGACAGUAAAUGCUAUAAUAGGGCAAUGUAUUUUCCUAAUGAACCCUUUGUGGAAUGGAUCAAGAGUAUUCAUUUUCUUCUGGUAAACAGCAAUCUGAACCCAAGAGAUAAUCCUUUCUCAAACACCCAAUCAGCAAUCAGCCAGCACCAGUGUCUUGAUAUUUCUAAAGAGUAUACUCCGGUGGUUUGGCCUCCUGGAGGACGCUGUGAGGAAGACUGUGCUUGCGUCCCUGAGCCUGUUGCCACUCCUUACUAAGGGCCUUACUAAGGGCAUGCCCAGAGCCAUCCCAGUCUGCUAUGUUUGGAAAGGGUUCUGGGCAUCAAGACUUAUCACUCAGAAUACUGUGGGAUUUUCUUCUACCUAAGACAAAAGAAAGAAGCAAUUCCAUUAAUGUACGCUUUUCAGGAUCUGUUGGGUUUUUCAUCUGUUACUGCUUUGGGAACUUUUUCUGUGUGCCAGCACAGCGCUAUGCACUGGACAUUCCAUGAUGAGCAAGACGGAUGUCCGUGCCCUCAUGGACCUUAGAGAACCUAAAAGAUUCUCAUUUCUCUCUGAAUUCUUCACAGGAUAAACUGCCCUGGCAUUUUCAGUUUUCUUUUUCCUCCUUCACCGGGAAGACUGACCCAAGCUUUCUCCUUCUGGGGCUGCCCCCAAAAGACUAGCUCAGUGUUAUUCACACACCUGCAGAUAGUUGUCCAGGGGUUUGUUUUCUCACACACCAAGAAGUCCAGAAGCAGACAGCCCAGGACUCUUACAGCUGCUCAGGGAAAUCACCAAGGACCAGGCUGCUUCUAACAUCCUUAUCUGACAACCCCAGCGACUGGCUUCAGUCCUCAUGGUGGACAGAGUCGGACGAUGUGAAAUUUCUUCAUGCUGCUCAAAAUGGUAUGUAAUUUAAAACUUAUGGAUUAUUUCUGAAAUGUUUAAUUUAAUAUUUUCAGACUAUGGCUGAUCAUGGGUAACUGAAACCAUGGAAAGAAAACUGCUGAUAAAGAAAAUACUGUAUUGCAAUUUGUGGGCAGCAAAAGUCCAUGUCUAUAUCCCCCAUAAUAGAGUGCUGAGCAUACAGUAAAUGUUCCACUUACUAAUACCACAAAUACGUACAGGCAACAUGGCAUCAUGGUUACUACUUAGUAGCCUGUGUUUGAAUCCCAACUCAGCCACUUACUAUUUAUUAGUCCCGUCAACUUGACCAAGUUACUUAACCUCUCUGUUCUUCAAUUUCCCCAUCUGUACAAUGGAAAUAAUGUGUUAAUACAUAUAGGCAACCCUUGGCAUCCUGGGGAUUGGUCCCAGGACACCCCUCAUACCAAAAUCUGUGAAUGUGCAAGUCCCUUAUAUAAAAUGGCAUAGUAUUUGCAUAUAACCUACUCAUAUCCUCUCAUAUUCUUUAAAGCAUCUCUAGAUUACUUACAAUACUUGAUCCAAUGCUUGCACAUCAUUUUAUUCAUGUAGAUUCAAUGUAGUACUCAGUGCAUGGUAAAUUCAAGUUGUGCUCUAUGGACCUUUGUGCAAUUUUUUUCCCCCAAAUAUUUUUGAUCUGAGGUUAGUUGAAUUUACAGAUGCAGA